rnacentral:rRNA from 1 species
UACAGAGGUCUCAAGCGUUGUUCGGAUUCAUUGGGCGUAAAGGGUGUGUAGGUGGCGCCGUAAGUCGGGUGUGAAAUUUCGGAGCUUAACUCCGAAACUGCAUUCGAUACUGCGGUGCUUGAGGACUGGAGAGGAGACUGGAAUUCAUGGUGUAGCAGUGAAAUGCGUAGAGAUCAUGAGGAAGACAAGUGGCGAAGGCGGGUCUCUGGACAGUUCCUGACACUGAGACACGAAGGCCAGGGGAGCAAACGGG